GUCUACGGCCAUACCACCCUGAACACACCCAAUCUCAUCUGAUCUCAGAAGCUAAGCAGGGUCGGGCCUGGUUAGUACUUGGAUGGGAGUCUAUACUCUUUUAAAUGAAACAGGUUACAAGGGAGU
rnacentral:rRNA from 1 species